ACGAACGCUGGCGGCGUGGAUAAGACAUGCAAGUCGAACGGGAGAAUUGCUAGCUUGCUAAUAAUUCUCUAGUAGCGCACGGGUGAGUAACACGUGAGUAACCUGCCUCUUAGUGGGGGAUAGCCCUGGGAAACCGGGAUUAAUACCGCAUACGAUUGAAAGAUCAAAGCAGCAAUGCGCUAGGAGAUGGGCUCGCGGCCUAUUAGUUAGUUGGUGAGGUAACGGCUCACCAAGGCGAUGACGGGUAGCCGGUCUGAGAGGAUGUCCGGCCACACUGGAACUGAGACACGGUCCAGACACCUACGGGUGGCAGCAGUCGAGAAUCAUUCACAAUGGGGGCAACCCUGAUGGUGCGACGCCGCGUGGGGGAAUGAAGGUCUUCGGAUUGUAAACCCCUGUCAUGUGGGAGCAAAUUAAAAAGAUAGUACCACAAGAGGAAGAGACGGCUAACUCUGUGCCAGCAGCCGCGGUAAUACAGAGGUCUCAAGCGUUGUUCGGAAUCACUGGGCGUAAAGCGUGCGUAGGCUGUUUCGUAAGUCGUGUGUGAAAGGCAGGGGCUCAACCCCUGGAUUGCACAUGAUACUGCGAGACUAGAGUAAUGGAGGGGGAACCGGAAUUCUCGGUGUAGCAGUGAAAUGCGUAGAUAUCGAGAGGAACACUCGUGGCGAAGGCGGGUUCCUGGACAUUAACUGACGCUGAGGCACGAAGGCCAGGGGAGCGAAAGGGAUUAGAUACCCCUGUAGUCCUGGCAGUAAACGGUGCACGCUUGGUGUGCGGGGAAUCGACCCCCUGCGUGCCGGAGCUAACGCGUUAAGCGUGCCGCCUGGGGAGUACGGUCGCAAGAUUAAAACUCAAAGAAAUUGACGGGGACCCGCACAAGCGGUGGAGUAUGUGGCUUAAUUCGAUGCAACGCGAAGAACCUUACCUGGGCUUGACAUGUAAUGAACAACAUGUGAAAGCAUGCGACUCUUCGGAGGCGUUACACAGGUGCUGCAUGGCCGUCGUCAGCUCGUGUCGUGAGAUGUUUGGUUAAGUCCAGCAACGAGCGCAACCCCUGUUGCCAGUUACCAGCACGUCAAGGUGGGGACUCUGGCGAGACUGCCCAGAUCAACUGGGAGGAAGGUGGGGACGACGUCAGGUCAGUAUGGCCCUUAUGCCCAGGGCUGCACACGUACUACAAUGCCCAGUACAGAGGGGGCCGAAGCCGCGAGGCGGAGGAAAUCCUGAAAACUGGGCCCAGUUCGGACUGUAGGCUGCAACCCGCCUACACGAAGCCGGAAUCGCUAGUAAUGGCGCAUCAGCUACGGCGCCGUGAAUACGUUCCCGGGUCUUGUACACACCGCCCGUCACAUCAUGGAAGCCGGUCGCACCCGAAGUAUCUGAAGCCAACCGCAAGGAGGCAGGGUCCUAAGGUGAGACUGGUAACUGGGAUG
rnacentral:rRNA from 1 species